AACGAACGCUGGCGGCAUGCCUAACACAUGCAAGUCGAACGAGACCUUCGGGUCUAGUGGCGCACGGGUGCGUAACGCGUGGGAACCUGCCUUUAGGUUCGGAAUAACUCAGAGAAAUUUGAGCUAAUACCGGAUGAUGUCUUCGGACCAAAGAUUUAUCGCCUUUAGAUGGGCCCGCGUUGGAUUAGCUAGUUGGUGGGGUAAAGGCCUACCAAGGCGACGAUCCAUAGCUGGUCUGAGAGGAUGAUCAGCCACACUGGGACUGAGACACGGCUCAGACUCCUACGGGAGGCAGCAGUGGGGAAUAUUGGACAAUGGGCGAAAGCCUGAUCCAGCAAUGCCGCGUGAGUGAUGAAGGCCUUAGGGUUGUAAAGCUCUUUUACCCGAGAUGGUAAUGACAGUAUCGGGAGAAUAAGCUCCGGCUAACUCCGUG
rnacentral:rRNA from 1 species